rnacentral:rRNA from 1 species
CCGACAAGCGGAGGAGACAUGUGUUAAUUCGAUGAUACGCGAGGAACCUUACCUGGGCUUUGAACGUAUGGUGCAUUAGGGUGAAAGCCCUAUUCUAGCAAUAGACUUCAUACGAGGUGCUGCAUGGCUGUCGUCAGCUCGUGCCGUGAGGUGUUAGGUUAAGUCCUGCAACGAGCGCAACCCCUGUUUCCAGUUGCCAUCAAGUAAAGUUGGGGACUCUGGAGAGACUGCCUGCGCAAGCAGAGAGGAAGUGGGGAUGACGUCAAGUCAGCACGGCCCUUACGUCCAGGGCUACACACGUGCUACAAUGGCCGGUACAGAGGGCAGCGACCUGGUGACAGGUAGCGAAUCUCCAAAGCCGGUCUCAGUUCGGAUCGGAGUCUGCAACUCGACUCCGUGAAGCUGGAUUCGCUAGUAAUCGGAUAUCAGCAAUGAUCCGGUGAAUACGUUCCCGGGCCUU